GUUGGUUUGUCAAUUCCUUGUGGUCCUUAUUACCUUACUGCGUCACACGCAAUCACCCCCAUUUCCCGGUCCUAUAUUUUCCCCAGAUCUACCCUCACUCAACUCCCAAUCCUUCACAAACACACACACUCGCUCCAUCUCCAACCUCUGCUUCAGAUCUACCUCAAUGGGUGGGGAAUUAUGGUAUGAAUCAUCACCGAAAAGGGUUCCAAGGAGGGUCUGGUUAAGGUUCCAAAUCUCAAUCGGCGUCCUCGUGGGUGGAAAUCACACCUCCUCCAGGUUUUGCACUCGCUAAUCAUCUCUUCUUCUCCACUUUCCGGCUUUCAAAUCUUUCAAGAACUCUUUCUUGUGUUCAGUCAAUCAACCGAACUCCGAGCUUCCUUUUUUUUUUAUUUAAAUUUUUCUUUAUUGGUGUUAUACUCCAGAUCCUGAAGGGGUCCAUAGCGAGGCGCGUGUUCUUCCGCUCAAUCAUGCUCGCCUCCGCCAUCUCGAUCGUUUCUCUGCUCCGCGCCUUCUCCGCCUUCGACCUGCCUGACUUAGCUCCGGUGACACUGACCUACACCGACUGCGUCGCCGCAGGUUCCGAAAUGCGUUUCGAAAACGCCACUCUCAGAGCCGCGUGCUCAGCACUUUCUGGAGCUCCUUCUACUGCGAGAAAGACGAAAACUUGACGGUCAACGUGGUCAACGACCUUAUGAAGAAGCAACUGUUGGAUUGCGGAGCCAAGAGCCUCUGCGUCGGAGAAGGUUCGGCGAUGGCCGUCGCCGCCAUGAAGCACAUGGGAUUCUCCAGCGUUACCGGUGUCCACAGGCACCGGUUCUUCUCCCUCAAGCAGAAGAAAAUCGUGUACGUGCUCAAUUAUCAGGACUAAAAACUAAAACAAAUAUAUACAUUGCUUUUCUAUUUACACUCCUAUCCUUUCGUUGGUAUUUCAUUUUCACAAGAAACUGAUGAGUGGGGUUUGUUUUCUGUGUUGAACAAGCGAGCCCACAAGCCAUCUUCAAGGAUCCAUUCAGGAGGGGAGAGAAUAUUCUUGUUAUUUGUGAUACAUACACCCCAGCUGGAGAGCCAAUCUCUACAAACAAGAGACACAAUGCUGCCAAGAUCUUCAGUCACCCUUAUGUAGCCUCUAAAGAACCAUGGUUGAAAAAGCUAGGAAUGGAUCAAAGGAGUGAAGAAGAAAGCAUGCAAAGUGGAGAAAUCAUGGAAAAUAAGGAUUUGGGAUGCAUUCAUUGACGCGCACGCGCACGCGUAGCAGACGCCACGCGUGAAAUGUGAGGUCGCCAGGCAACGCGUACGUGUGGAACGCAAAUUGCCAAGCGACGCGUACGCGUGACCCACGCGUACGUGUCGACGCUCGCACGUCGGUGUUUUUGGGUGACAAAUUUCUAAUCCCAACACUUUUGCAUUUCAUUUUUAUUUGCAUUUUAUUUUUAGAUCUUUUAGGAUCUUUUGUUGCAUUUUCUUAUUUUUGCAUAUAUAUACAUAAUAAGCUUAGCCAAAAUAAUGAAAAUUUUCAAGAUUUCUAUCUAUAGGGCAUUGACAUUCCAAUUGAUUUGAGUAAAAAUCUUUUAUUGAACUUGCUUGAAUUAUAUAUUGUGGAACAUGUUUUGAGCUAAGAACACAAACAUGUGAGUUUUGAGCCUAAUUGCGUGGUUACAUCUUAUAACCACUUAUCUUUCUUCUUGUGUGCAUUAAUCUCUUUCUAUGAUUGUAAUUUUUGAUUUGUUUGAUUCUUUAUGUCCAUUAUUUUGUGUAGACAUGCAUUUGUAUGAUUGAGGUCAUCAUUUUAUUUAGCCCACUUACCUAAAUAGCUUACCUUUCAUCAACCAUUGUUAGCCAACUUUGAGCCUAUGAUAAACCCACUUGUUUUUAAUUUUAGCACAUUACAAGCCUUGAAGCAAAAAACAAUAAAUGUCCUUUAUUUGGAUCUUUGAUUAGCUUAGGCUAGUGAGUGUGUAUCAUUCAAAUGUGGGGAAACUUGGGAUAUUGGUUGAGGGGAAAAAAAAAAGAAGAAAAGUGGGUGUGUUGUAAUUUUUGUUGAAAAUAUAGGUAAUUGGGUAUAUACUCAUGCGUUAAUUAAAUGUAAAACUAUAUGCAUUGAUGCUUUUGUUUGUACUUUAUU